ACCCUAGUGUAAUAAUCCGCCUGCUCUCUUGAUUAAUCGAUAAACUCACACAGAACUACAGAUCCCAUCAUGCCUCCCGUCCCUCCCCUGCAUCGAGCCCCAGCGCGUCCAAUCACGGGAGCGCUCCUCGGCUCGGAGUGAGCCCGCAGCCAAUGGCAGGCGAGAGAGGGGGCGGGUUUGUUUCGGGUUUCCCUCACAAUGUUUUCCCCUGAAGGAGAGAGAGGAGGCGGCGCGGCUGAAUCAACCAGUGCCUGUUUACCUGGGAAGGAACCAGACUGUCAGAGCCGUGCUGCUGAUCUCCUGCUGACAAUCCCUGAAG